GUAGGUGGCAAGCGUUGUCCGGGAAUUAUUGGGGCGUAAAGCGCGCGCAGGCGGGUUCUUUAAGUCUGAUGUGAAAGCCCACGGGCUCAACCGUGGGAGGGUCAUUGGAAACUGGAGAACUUGAGUACAGAAGAGGAAAGCGGAAUUCCACAUGUAGCGGUGAAAUGCGUAGAGAUGUGGAGGAACACCAGUGGCGAAGGCGGCUUUCUGGUCUGUAACUGACGCUGAGGCGCGAAAGCGUGGGGAGCAAACAGGAUUAGAUACCCUGGUAGUCCACGCCGUAAACGAUGAGUGCUAAGUGUUAGGGGGUUUCCGCCCCUUAGUGCUGCAGCUAACGCAUUAAGCACUCCGCCUGGGGAGUACGGCCGCAAAGGCUGA
rnacentral:rRNA from 1 species